rnacentral:rRNA from 1 species
GAUGAACGCUGGCGGCGUGCCUAAUACAUGCAAGUCGAGCGAACGGACGAGAAGCUUGCUUCUCUGAUGUUAGCGGCGGACGGGUGAGUAACACGUGGAUAACCUACCUAUAAGACUGGGAUAACUUCGGGAAACCGGAUCUAAUACCGGAUGAUAUUUUGAACCGCAUGGUUCAAAAGUGAAAGACGGUCUUGCUGUCACUUAUAGAUGGAUCCGCGCUGCAUUAGCUAGUUGGUAAGGUAACGGCUUACCAAGGCAACGAUGCAUAGCCGACCUGAGAGGGUGAUCGGCCACACUGGAACUGAGACACGGUCCACACUCCUACGGGAGGCAGCAGUAGGGAAUAUUCCGCAAUGGGCGAAAGCCUGACGGAGCAACGCCGCGUGAGUGAUGAAGGUCUUCGGAUCGUAAAACUCUGUUAUUAGGGAAGAACAUAUGUGUAAGUACCUGUGCACAUCUUGACGGUACCUAAUCAGAAAGCCACGGCUAACUCCGUG